GGUAAAAUGUGUUUGAACUUACAUUUGCAUCUAUACAUGAAGUAGGCAGCCUAGAGCAGGAGGCGGGCGUCAGAUCAGAGGGUUGCAGGCAUCUCCAUCGCAUCGCUCCUAGGCAUCUGAAAGUGUACCGUUGCGCACAGAUCAUGCUGGUAACGAGUUAUUCAAAGGGUCUACCAAUCAUGGCAAAAACAGAAAUCCAGCUCCUCAGCCCAGG